rfam:Myotis brandtii contig189953, whole genome shotgun sequence.
GAGACACCCUUAUGGAGUAGGACUUGCUUCAGUGGGGCUUUGGUGCUCACUGCGUCUGCCCCUUGAGUGUGUCGCU